UCAGAUCCAUAAAAGACAAC
rnacentral:snRNA from 1 species